rnacentral:rRNA from 1 species
CGAACGCUGGCGGCAGGCUUAACACAUGCAAGUCGAACGGGUGUAGCAAUACAUCAGUGGCAGACGGGUGAGUAACACGUGGGAACCUUCCUAGGGGUACGGAACAACUCAGGGAAACUUGAGCUAAUACCGUAUACGUCCGUGAGGAGAAAGAUUUAUCGCCCUUAGACGGGCCCGCGUCGGAUUAGCUAGUUGGUGGGGUAACGGCCUACCAAGGCGACGAUCCGUAGCUGAUCUUAGAGGAUGAUCAGCCACACUGGGACCGAGACACGGCCCAGACUCCUACGGGAGGCAGCAGUGGGAAUCUUGGACAAUGGGCGCAAGCCUGAUCCAGCCAUGCCGCGUGAGUGAAGAAGGUCUUCGGAUUGUAAGGCUCUUUUGCCAGGACGAUAAAUGACGGUACCUGGAGAACUAAGCCCGGCGAAACUUCGUGCCAGCAGCCGCGGUAAUCUGAU